CAUGACUGGGAAACACAAGCUAUGAGACCACCAAACAUGAGUUGUGCAACAACAUGAAAUAAGGUUGGCUUUUAUUAAUACCUUAAGAUUUCGAACUUGAUGUGGACAUCCAGCCGGAAUAAAAACAGCAUCUCCGAGGUUUUGCUCGUAUGUCCACGGUUCAAUUCCUAGACAUCAUGACGGACACAUUAGGAACAUGUUAGGUAAAAUGAUUGGUCGUGAAUCGGAUGGAUAACCUGAUCAUAAAUGAAACCAUCAAGAACAUCAAGCAAAUGCCGUUAUGGUUGAAAAGUAACGCUAUGAGCAAAGACUUACCUUUUCAACUGGGGAGCAGUAGGUAUGCCUGAAUUCCUUGGAGUACUUCCUAAGAUAUUCUUCCAGUUUAGGAACAUCCUCCCUUCUAAAAAUGUCCCACAGAGCACCACCACCGGUUUCCUCUCCGCUCGUGGAGGGUUCGGGAAUCGUAGCUCCGAGUUCAUCUCUGGAUAAGUUGCGCUCAUUACCACCCAAAUUGUGAUCUCUAUGGCCUGCGAUUUCUGCAACAUCAGAGCUUUCUUGAAUUCUAUUGAGACACCCUCUCUCCAAACGCUCCUUUUCAUCUUGUGCUUUAUGUUUCAAUUUCAACUCUCCCAUUGCAGCUAGCUGGUCCUCGCUCAAGGCAACCUCGGCAGUAUGUGUCAAAAUGUUUACCUUCAGUACCAAUAGUUAAUUAAGA